GAUGAAGAACGUAGCGAAAUGCGAUAAGUAAUGUGAAUUGCAGAAUUCAGUGAAUCAUCGAAUCUUUGAACGCACAUUGCGCCCGCCAGUAUUCUGGCGGGCAUGCCUGUCUGAGCGUCAUUUCAACCCUCGAGCCCCCCCGGGGGCCUCGGUGUUGGGGGACGGCACACCAGCCGCCCCCGAAAUGCAGUGGCGACCCCGCCGCAGCCUCCCCUGCGUAGUAGCACACACCUCGCACCGGAGCGCGGAGGCGGUCACGCCGUAAAACGCCCAACUUUCUUAGAGUUGACCUCGGAUCAGGUAGGAAUACCCGCUGAACUUAAGCAUAUCAAUAAGCGGAGGA
rnacentral:misc_RNA from 1 species